rnacentral:lncRNA from 1 species
GUCUCAGCCAGAACACACACAGUUAUUGUUUUAUUCUUGUUCUCUUGUGUCGUUUACAGUGUCUCUCACAAAAGAAGAACUCCCUCUGGCAGGGGAUGUGACUAGGGACUCAUUGGGCCAGCAACAACCACAAAAGAAUCUAGGCAUUAGAAUGAACUACUGGAACCUGAGUCAAAGACCUGUUAGUGAUAAUUUGCCCAUUUUCUGGCCUCUAGUUGCUUGAAUAGGGGUAAGACAGGGAAAUAUUAAAUGAUUGUGUACUGAGAUGGAGACGUGGAAGAUCUGGCCCUGAUGGAGGAUCAGAGGGAGCAGGUUGGGUGAAAGCCCGGUUUUAAGCCUCUUGUUCUAGGGACCACGUUGAGUGACAGGGUGGGAAAAGAUGCAUCAAUAAGGAAAUGUGGCAGUGUUGAAGAGGGACCCAGCUGUGGACAGGGAGGAGGGACAGGGUGCUGAACACGCCUGAGAGAAUUCUUCCAGGUGGCAAGGGUGGGGAAAGGGGUGGAUGCAUUCAUUCUGUCCACUCCUUCUUAAUCGACAGGUUCCACUCCCAGCUGAGGUGGUCUUGCUUGUCAUCGUCGGUGAAGAAGGACUUGUUGUGGUACGUGCCUCGCGCCAGCAUGCCCUUGGGAGCCUCCUCAACUGGAGUGAGGAACUCAUACUCCUCAGGCCGAGGUCCAUAGCUGCCAACCAUAAAUGUUGCUUUAUCCACUUUCACCCCAGUCCUGUAGGUGUGCUGAACGUAUUUCAGGCCUGACACAAUAUCCCUGUUCACUUUGAAGUGAAUUUUGACUCUAUAUUCAGAACCUUCCUUUAACACAAUGGUUUCCUUUUUGAGGGCUUCCAGAUCUCCAGUAAGGUCCAUGGUGAUUGGUCCCGGGGCACUCUCACAAACCAGGGUGAGCCGGGUGACAACGACAUUGGGGGCUUUCGGAUCUGUCACCACAGGACCAUCUCCCAGCAGCGUUUUCUUGUACUUAAUUAGACUCUCAUCAUCUUUGUCCAUUUCCUGCAGCUCUUUCAGGGACUUCUGUGGUGGAGGCUUAUAAUUGAGCUUGCUGUCCAGCUCAUCAUCGUCAUCCUCCUCCACAUGUGGCUCUGGGGCUUUUUCAGUCAUUCUGAUCUAUUUAUUCAGUGCUUCACGUCUCUGUCCGGGGUGCCUCUGUCUCUCAACUCUGAC